UACGUAGGGGGCGAGCGUUGUCCGAAUUUACUGGGCGUAAAGCGCGCGUAGGCGGUUUCUUAAGUCUGGGGUGAAAGGUUCAACGCUCAACGUGAACAGUGCCUUGGAUACUGGGAGACUUGAGUCUGGGAGGGGGUAGUGGAAUUCCUGGUGUAGCGGUGAAAUGCGUAGAUAUCAGGAGGAACACCGGUGGCGAAGGCGGCUACCUGGCCUAAGACUGACGCUGAGGUGCGAAAGCCAGGGGAGCAAACGGG
rnacentral:rRNA from 1 species